UAUAUCUCCUGAGUUGACAGCUUUGGGUGAUUUGAAUGCUGGGGCAAGAAUCCAAAUGGCAAGCACCAGGGGAGCCUGAGUUAGUGAACUACCUUGUCAUGGGCAUUCCUACCAGCCCAGGAGGCACAGAGACACAGACUGUGGGAUUCCUCUUCAGGCAUUGAAAUGUGAGGUACAACCCACACAAAUGCUCCGGGAGAUGUUGGAAUACAAGUCCAAACACAGCCACAUGGUCACCAGCCAACAGAAGUGACUGGCCAGUAGUCACUGUAGCAGCCAGGUGGUCCAGAAUGCAGGAGCUGCUGAGUCCAUGUAGACAUUGACUGUGAGAUUAAAUGCCAAAAUCAUGAAGACAGGUCUUGGCUGUGCAUCUGAGAAUUGGGCAGCUCCACCUGAGGCUCUGCGAGCUCCAUCCUUGCCUGGACACAGACAGCCAAGACCCACUCUGAGCCAGAACUUGCAAGCUUCUCACUUUUUGGACUCCCUGGGUGUCCAGGCUCAGGGUUUGCUGCCUGGCAUCCCUCUUGUCCCACAGGCUGGGGCUGCUGCCAGUGCUGCUCACUCACAGCACAGUGACCCUGCCUCCGAGCAGAAGUCCCAGAUGCCCAGAGCCCGUGGCAGACCCGGCUGUCUGGGCUGGCCCAGCACCACAGACCCAGAGAGAAGGGCCCUGCUUUUGCAUAGACUGCCCAGAAUCCAGGCAGGGGGUUGCUUGUUUAAUUUGGUGAAAGCUUGA
rnacentral:lncRNA from 1 species